GAUGAACGCUGGCGGCGUGCCUAAUACAUGCAAGUCGAGCGAACGGACGAGAAGCUUGCUUCUCUGAUGUUAGCGGCGGACGGGUGAGUAACACGUGGAUAACCUACCUAUAAGACUGGGAUAACUUCGGGAAACCGGAGCUAAUACCGGAUAAUAUUUUGAACCGCAUGGUUCAAAAGUGAAAGACGGUCUUGCUGUCACUUAUAGAUGGAUCCGCGCUGCAUUAGCUAGUUGGUAAGGUAACGGCUUACCAAGGCAACGAUGCAUAGCCGACCUGAGAAGGUGAUCGGCCACACUGGAACUGAGACACGGUCCAGACUCCUACGGGAGGCAGCAGUAGGGAAUCUUCCGCAAUGGGCGAAAGCCUGACGGAGCAACGCCGCGUGAGUGAUGAAGGUCUUCGGAUCGUAAAACUCUGUUAUUAGGGAAGAACAUAUGUGUAAGUAACUGUGCACAUCUUGACGGUACCUAAUCAGAAAGCCACGGCUAACUACGUGCCAGCAGCCGCGGUAAUACGUAGGUGGCAAGCGUUAUCCGGAAUUAUUGGGCGUAAAGCGCGCGUAGGCGGUUUUUUAAGUCUGAUGUGAAAGCCCACGGCUCAACCGUGGAGGGUCAUUGGAAACUGGAAAACUUGAGUGCAGAAGAGGAAAGUGGAAUUCCAUGUGUAGCGGUGAAAUGCGCAGAGAUAUGGAGGAACACCAGUGGCGAAGGCGACUUUCUGGUCUGUAACUGACGCUGAUGUGCGAAAGCGUGGGGAUCAAACAGGAUUAGAUACCCUGGUAGUCCACGCCGUAAACGAUGAGUGCUAAGUGUUAGGGGGUUUCCGCCCCUUAGUGCUGCAGCUAACGCAUUAAGCACUCCGCCUGGGGAGUACGACCGCAAGGUUGAAACUCAAAGGAAUUGACGGGGACCCGCACAAGCGGUGGAGCAUGUGGUUUAAUUCGAAGCAACGCGAAGAACCUUACCAAAUCUUGACAUCCUUUGACAACUCUAGAGAUAGAGCCUUCCCCUUCGGGGGACAAAGUGACAGGUGGUGCAUGGUUGUCGUCAGCUCGUGUCGUGAGAUGUUGGGUUAAGUCCCGCAACGAGCGCAACCCUUAAGCUUAGUUGCCAUCAUUAAGUUGGGCACUCUAAGUUGACUGCCGGUGACAAACCGGAGGAAGGUGGGGAUGACGUCAAAUCAUCAUGCCCCUUAUGAUUUGGGCUACACACGUGCUACAAUGGACAAUACAAAGGGCAGCGAAACCGCGAGGUCAAGCAAAUCCCAUAAAGUUGUUCUCAGUUCGGAUUGUAGUCUGCAACUCGACUACAUGAAGCUGGAAUCGCUAGUAAUCGUAGAUCAGCAUGCUACGGUGAAUACGUUCCCGGGUCU
rnacentral:rRNA from 1 species